GCUUGCUCCCGGAUGUUAGCGGCGGACGGGUGAGUAACACGUGGGUAACCUGCCUGUAAGACUGGGAUAACUCCGGGAAACCGGAGCUAAUACCGGAUAGUUCCUUGAACCGCAUGGUUCAAGGAUGAAAGACGGUUUCGGCUGUCACUUACAGAUGGACCCGCGGCGCAUUAGCUAGUUGGUGGGGUAAUGGCUCACCAAGGCGACGAUGCGUAGCCGACCUGAGAGGGUGAUCGGCCACACUGGGACUGAGACACGGCCCAGACUCCUACGGGAGGCAGCAGUAGGGAAUCUUCCGCAAUGGACGAAAGUCUGACGGAGCAACGCCGCGUGAGUGAUGAAGGUUUUCGGAUCGUAAAGCUCUGUUGUUAGGGAAGAACAAGUGCGAGAGUAACUGCUCGCACCUUGACGGUACCUAACCAGAAAGCCACGGCUAACUACGUGCCAGCAGCCGCGGUAAUACGUAGGUGGCAAGCGUUGUCCGGAAUUAUUGGGCGUAAAGGGCUCGCAGGCGGUUUCUUAAGUCUGAUGUGAAAGCCCCCGGCUCAACCGGGGAGGGUCAUUGGAAACUGGGAAACUUGAGUGCAGAAGAGGAGAGUGGAAUUCCACGUGUAGCGGUGAAAUGCGUAGAGAUGUGGAGGAACACCAGUGGCGAAGGCGACUCUCUGGUCUGUAACUGACGCUGAGGAGCGAAAGCGUGGGGAGCGAACAGGAUUAGAUACCCUGGUAGUCCACGCCGUAAACGAUGAGUGCUAAGUGUUAGGGGGUUUCCGCCCCUUAGUGCUGCAGCUAACGCAUUAAGCACUCCGCCUGGGGAGUACGGUCGCAAGACUGAAACUCAAAGGAGUUGACGGGGGCCCGCACAAGCGGUGGAGCAUGUGGGUUUAAUUCGAAGCAACGCGAGAACCUUACCAGGUCUUGACAUCCUCUGACAACCCUAGAGAUAGGCUUCCCUUCGGGGACAGAGUGACAGGUGGGUGCAUGGUUGUCGUCAGCUC
rnacentral:rRNA from 2 species